rnacentral:rRNA from 1 species
GAUGAACGCUGGCGGCGUGCUUAACACAUGCAAGUCGAACGGGAUCCAUCAGGCUUUGCUUGGUGGUGAGAGUGGCGAACGGGUGAGUAAUGCGUGACCGACCUGCCCCAUACACCGGAAUAGCUCCUGGAAACGGGUGGUAAUGCCGGAUGCUCCAGUUGAUCGCAUGGUCUUCUGAGAAAGCUUUCGCGGUAUGGGAUGGGGUCGCGUCCUAUCAGCUUGACGGCGGGGUAACGGCCCACCGUGGCUUCGACGGGUAGCCGGCCUGAGAGGGCGACCGGCCACAUUGGGACUGAGAUACGGCCCAGACUCCUACGGGAGGCAGCAGUGGGGAAUAUUGCACAAUGGGCGCAAGCCUGAUGCAGCGACGCCGCGUGAGGGAUGGAGGCCUUCGGGUUGUAAACCUCUUUUAUCGGGGAGCAAGCGAGAGUGAGU